GGCUCUGUGAUUACGUGCCUGAAAGGGCAAUAUACGCUAUUCCGACUCAGAACAUGAGCAGAAAAUUCAAUUUUGAAAAUGAGAGCU